rnacentral:rRNA from 3 species
GGUUGAAGGUUGGGUAACACUAACUGGAGGACCGAACCGACUAAUGUUGAAAAAUUAGCGGAUGACCUGUGGCUGGGGGUGAAAGGCCAAUCAAACCGGGAGAUAGCUGGUUCUCCCCGAAAGCUAUUUAGGUAGCGCCUCGUGAAUUCAUCUCCGGGGGUAGAGCACUGUUUCGGCUAGGGGGCCAUCCCGGCUUACCAACCCGAUGCAAACUGCGAAUACCGGAGAAUGUUAUCACGGGAGACACACGGCGGGUGCUAACGUCCGUCGUGAAGAGGGAAACAACCCAGACCGCCAGCUAAGGUCCCAAAGUCAUGGUUAAGUGGGAAACGAUGUGGGAAGGCCCAGACAGCCAGGAUGUUGGCUUAGAAGCAGCCAUCAUUUAAAGAAAGCGUAAUAGCUCACUGGUCGAGUCGGCCUGCGCGGAAGAUGUAACGGGGCUAAACCAUGCACCGAAGCUGCGGCAGCGACACUGUGUGUUGUUGGGUAGGGGAGCGUUCUGUAAGCCUGUGAAGGUGUGUCGUGAGGC